GCCGGGUGUGGAGGCACAUGCCUGUAAUCCUAGCAGCUUGGGAGGCUGAGGCAGGAGGAUCACAAAUUCUCAGCUAAUCUCAUCAAAAGCAAAGUGCUAAGCAAUUCAGUGAGACCCUGUCUCUA
rnacentral:sRNA from 1 species